rnacentral:rRNA from 1 species
UACGUAGGGGGCAAGCGUUGUCCGGAUUUAUUGGGCGUAAAGAGCGUGUAGGCGGCCAGGCAGGUCCGUUGUGAAAACUCGAGGCUCAACCUCGAGACGUCGAUGGAAACCGUCUGGCUAGAGUCCGGAAGAGGAGAGUGGAAUUCCUGGUGUAGCGGUGAAAUGCGCAGAUAUCAGGAGGAACACCAAUGGCGAAGGCAGCUCGCUGGGACGUGACUGACGCUGAGACGCGAAAGCGUGGGGAGCAAACAGG